UCUCCAUAGUUUUAUCUUUUCCAGAAUAUCAUAUAACUAAAAUCAUUCAGUAGAUUUUCAGAUUGGCUUAUUUUACCCAGGAACAUGCGCUUGACGUUCUUCUAUGUGUUUUUGUAGCUGGUAGCUAAUUUCUUUCUAUCACUAAUAUUUGAUUGCAUGAAUGUACCGCAGUUUGGUUUUCCAUUCACUUUUUCAAGGACAUCUUGAUUGUUACCACAUUUAGGCAGUUAUGAAUAAAGCUGAUUACUCAAAGUUGGAUUUUGAUUUAACUAGGAAUCCUGGAGCUGUGAGAUAAUGUGGAAAAUACAUACAUUUUUAAUAUGUGCUAUUUACCUUGAUUCUGUAAGGCCUGAUUUUUAAUACCGAAGGAUCAUCUUUAUUGACAGAAAUCUGAAUUCAAGGGACAUGGAGGAUGCCUAUCUAAAUCAUUUUACUUAGAUUAUUAGGAGUGAGAGAUUUUUAUUUAUCAUCAAUUUCUCGGGGACUUGGAGAACCUUUAUGUCUAGCUAACGGUUUGUAAAUACACCAAUCAGCACUCUGUAUCUAGCUAAUCUAGUGGGGAAGUGGAGAACCUUUCACCAAUUCCAGACACACCAUGAUUAGCUAUAUGGAUCUGAAAAGCCUUUUAGCCCUUUUAAAGGGGAAUAAUGACAGACUCUUUCUUGAUAAUUACGUGUGUUAUGUGUGUCUUAAUCUACGACUUUUAACAACAAAAGACCUUUCCCCUGUACCCCCACUGCUUACAAUCUGGGGAAUUCUGAACAUGUGCAAAAUGUUAGUAUUAUAUAUACCAAUGUUGAGCCGUUCAGUAAAUAGAUACUGGUUGAAUAGCUACUAGGUGCUAGCGAUGUCAAUAAAUAAGACGGAGACCACUGACCAUGGCGCUCGUACAUUAUGGCAGGACAAGGGGACAAUAAUCAACAUCCAGAAUACAUGCACAAACGAUGCAUGACGCUAGAGUGUGAUCCAUGUGUGAUCUAAAGUUAAAGGAAAAGAACACUUGUAUUUUGUUUAUAUUGUUUGACCAACUACCAGCUUCAAUUAAAAUUCUUAGCUGGAAACACUCACUCUAAGGUCAAGGAAAUCAAAAUAAGAUAUUACUUAUCCUACUCUAAAGCAAUAGCUGGAGCUACUGGAAUUACUUUGGUACCUUAAUAGCUGACACAUUUA
rnacentral:lncRNA from 1 species